rnacentral:rRNA from 1 species
AACGCGAAGAACCUUACCUGGGCUUGAACCGCACAGGACCAGUCUGAGAAAUCAGGCCUUCCCGCAAGGGACCUGUGUAGAGGUGCUGCAUGGCUGUCGUCAGCUCGUGCCGUGAGGUGUUGGGUUAAGUCCCGCAACGAGCGCAACCCUUACUCAUAGUUGCUACCCGCAAGGGAGAACUCUAUGAGGACUGCUCCGGAUAACGGAGAGGAAGGUGGGGAUGAGGUCAAGUCAGCAUGGCCUUUAUGUCCAGGGCUACACACGUGUUACAAUGCGCGCCACAAAGCGUUGCAAACCCGCGAGGGGGAGCUAAUCGCAAAAAAGCGCGCUCAGUCCGGAUUGCAGUCUGCAACUCGACUGCAUGAAGCUGGAAUCGCUAGUAAUGGCGCAUCAGAACGGCGCCGUGAAUACGUUCCCGGGCCUUGUA